AUGACACUUUGCUCAGAACCCUGUUGCCAAGCAACACAUAGCACCACUAACUGAUGCCUGCUCACUUGUCUGGAGAUAUAGGACAUGUGAGGAUGUUUUCUUGCUGUCUCCCUACUUCCCAAGGCUCAAGCCUCAGGAGAUCUCUCAGGAGAGGAGUCAGCCGCAUCUGGAGAAACUGGGUCCCACGUCUCACAUGAUGCCUGUGGCCAUUUUCUCAGAGGAGUCAAAGUGGGAAACACAGUAGCCGAGGGCAGAAGGUCCCACUCCAGGAUGAAAAGGAGUCAAGCCUGACUCUGGAUACUCAAGCUUGCUUAGAGCUUUUGAAGAUGGAUGUAAGGGAGUCCAUAGUCAACCAUCUUGUGUGAUCUUUGCUUCAAGGGAACUCUUUGUUCCUGCACAAGUUUUUGCAAAACUACCAAGUAUUUGGGACCACGCAGCAGGUGCUGGAUCUGCUGUUGAAAAGGUACUGUUUGACUAGUGACGGCUGGCACCGUCACAAGUGGCGCCCGAACAGGGACCUGAGCAUGGAGGACAAGGUGAAGGACGCCACCAGAUUGUGAGCUCGGAUAAAAUGAAGACAGUGUGCGAUGGUUGCCGGAAUGGCUCGUGCACCAGGUGGAUGUCUCUUCAACAGAAUCUCUUCCUCCUCAUAAUGAUGGCCACAAUGACCAGAUGUGAGAUGUUCUGGGCUUAUGUCCCUGACCCUCCGCUUCUCUAUCCUGUUACCUGGGAAGACCCACCAAUUUCUGUGUAUGUAAAUAAUACUCGUAUUACAGGACCACCCGCAAAUGAUCACAUAAAGGAAGAUAAAAAAUUUAAUUAUACAUUUGCAGGGAAAGGUAGAGGAGUUCCUAUAUGGUUUUCUUUAAAUGGAACUGUCUCCAGAUGUUUAAAUGUCACUUGGGACUCAUGGACUCAAGGUUCCUUAUAUGGUAAUAAUGGACAUAAUAUUCGUCUGCCCUGGCCUUCUUGUGGUGGACCCUUGGUCCCGAUUGACAUGCUGCCCCAAGGAUAUCCCCCCUGUAUGAAUAAGACUGAAAUAAGUAAUAGAAUAAUACCUUGGCACCAGUGUGUGGUACAGCGGCCUGCAAUCUACAACUUUACUAACAGACCUGAAGUCCUACAAGAUUGGAGUGCUCAACUGGAUAAUUGUCAGGGAGGCGCUGCUAUGGAACAACAGUUAACUGUGGGACUCUGGCAAUCGCCUCCUGGUCCUUUCCAACCAAUGUUGUGGAAGUUGAUGGUUGCCAUGGGUGGAAUAAAAAGAAUAGGUG
rnacentral:lncRNA from 1 species